GACGAACGCUGGCGGCGUGCCUAAUACAUGCAAGUCGAGCGAAUUCUUUAAAAGCUUGCUUUUGAAGAGUUAGCGGCGGACGGGUGAGUAACACGUGGGCAACCUGCCUAUAAGACUGGGAUAACUUCGGGAAACCGGAGCUAAUACCGGAUAAUUCUUUUCUACUCAUGUGGAAAAGCUGAAAGACGGUUUACGCUGUCACUUAUAGAUGGGCCCGCGGCGCAUUAGCUAGUUGGUGAGGUAACGGCUCACCAAGGCCACGAUGCGUAGCCGACCUGAGAGGGUGAUCGGCCACACUGGGACUGAGACACGGCCCAGACACCUACGGGUGGCAG
rnacentral:rRNA from 1 species